UGAAAGCAUCUAAGCGGGAAGCCUCCCUCGAAACUAGAAUUCCCUGAGAGUCGUGGAAGACCACCACGUUGAUAGGCCGGGUGUGGAAGCGCAGCAAUGUGUGAAGCUUACCGGUACUAAUAGCUCGAUAGGCUUGACCAU
rnacentral:rRNA from 1 species